ACGGAGGGUGCGAGCGUUAAUCGGAAUUACUGGGCGUAAAGCGCGCGUAGGCGGUUUGGUAAGUCGGAUGUGAAAGCCCUCGGCUCAACCUGGGAACUGCAUUCGAAACUGCCAUACUUGAGUGCGGGAGAGGGUGGUGGAAUUCCAGGUGUAGGAGUGAAAUCCGUAGAUAUCAGGAGGAACACCGGUGGCGAAGGCGGCUACCUGGACCGAUACUGACGCUGAGACGCGAAAGCGUGGGGAGCAAACAG
rnacentral:rRNA from 1 species